rnacentral:rRNA from 1 species
GAUGAACGCUAGCGGCAGGCUUAACACAUGCAAGUCGAGGGGUAGAUUACUUCGGUAAUUGAGACCGGCGCACGGGUGCGUAACGCGUAUACAAUCUACCUUUUACAGAGGGAUAGCCCAGAGAAAUUUGGAUUAAUACCUCAUAGUAUUUUCGAAUCGCAUGAUUUGAUUAUUAAAGUUCCAACGGUAAAAGAUGAGUAUGCGUCCCAUUAGCUAGAUGGUAAGGUAACGGCUUACCAUGGCUACGAUGGGUAGGGGUCCUGAGAGGGAGAUCCCCCCACACUGGUACUGAGACACGGACCAGACUCCUACGGGAGGCAGCAGUGAGGAAUAUUGGACAAUGGGCGCAAGCCUGAUCCAGCCAUGCCGCGUGCAGGAAGAAGGUCCUAUGGAUUGUAAACUGCUUUUAUACAGGGAAGAAACACCCUCUACGUGUAGAGACUUGACGGUACUGUAUGAAUAAGGACCGGCUAAUCCGUGCCAGCAGCCGCGGUAAUGUG